rnacentral:rRNA from 1 species
UACGAACGCUGGCGGCGUGCUUAACACAUGCAAGUCGAGCGGAAAGGCCUGCUUUCCCUUGUGGAUUGCGGGUACUCGAGUGGCGAACGGGUGAGUAACACGUGAGUGAUCUGCCCCCAACUUGGGUAUAAGCCUGGGAAACUGGGUCUAAUUCCCGAUAGGACUGCAGGGUGGUGCCUGUGGUGGAAAACGAUUUUCUAGUGGUUGGGGAUGAGCUCGCGGCCUAUCAGCUUGUUGGUGGGGUAAUGGCCUACCAAGGCGGCGACGGGUAGCCGGCCUGAGAGGGUGGACGGCCACAUUGGGACUGAGAUACGGCCCAGACUCCUACGGGAGGCAGCAGUGGGGAAUAUUGCACAAUGGGCGGAAGCCUGAUGCAGCGACGCCGCGUGGGGGAUGACGGCCUUCGGGUUGUAAACUCCUUUCGACCGCGAGGAAGCCACCUGGUUGGAAGGGUGGUGACGGUAGUGGUAGAAGAAGCACCGGCUAACUACGUG